rnacentral:rRNA from 1 species
UACGAAGGGGGCUAGCGUUGCUCGGAAUGACUGGGCGUAAAGGGCGCGUAGGCGGUUUGAUCAGUUAGGUGUGAAAUUCCUGGGCUUAACCUGGGGGCUGCACUUAAUACGGUCAGACUUGAGUGUGAAAGAGGGUCGUGGAAUUCCCAGUGUCGAGGUGAAAUUCGUAGAUAUCGGGAAGAACACCGGUGGCGAAGGCGGCGACCUGGUUCAUUACUGACGCUGAGGCGCGAAAGCGUGGGGAGCAAACAGGAUUAGAUACCCCAGUAGU